AACGGAGAAGAAAGUGAUAAAUUUUUAUUAAUAAUUGUCGGAGUCAUUUUUAAAUUUAUAAAUUUAAAGAACACAUUGUCCGAUUUAAUGAGUUUAAAAUCGGGAAGUUCUAGAAGGCUUACAAAAGACGUAUAAUAUUAAUAUUAAUAUUGUUUUUUUAAAAUCAGUAAGUGUAAUUACUAAUUAGGGUUUAGUGGUCCGAUUGUAUGAUGCCUGAGAGUAUGAUUGGUGAUUGACGAUUGAGGUCCAAUUAAAAAACCGCGGGACAGCGGCGACGUCGCUGGUGUACGACGCGAUCUAGGUCUCCACGGUUAAUUUACCCUCUCUUAUUUUAUCCUUAAAUAUUUUAGACUCUACCGACAGUCGUACUGAGAUAUUUUUUUUCAGAGAGUACCGACACUGAGAGACUAAACGGCCCGAGAAACACCCAAAGCUGUCUUUAAUCUCUUUUUACCUUUUUUUUUUAUUUCGUUUUAUUAGUUUUUAAAUCCUUUUACUCGCACAAGAUUUAACUGGCCGCAAGACUCUCUUCUUCCAGUUAUUUUAUCCUUGUGAUAGACAAUUAUAGAUUUAUAUUGUCAAUAUAUUUAUUAUUUUAUUAAACAAACAAAUUUAUUCGAUUAAAUCGAGGUGUUUAUUAUUUUUAAAAUUAUUUUUAUUGAUUUAGGUCCCCUGGGAGGGAGAUUAAGAUUUAUUUAAACAAUACUCGGAAUUAUUUUUUAUAUAAAUAGAGAAUUAAAGACAGCCGUGGGUGAGAUCGAGGCACGUCCGGAUGCUUACCGGAGCUCUUCCAUAGCAACCAUUCUGGUCACACUGGUUCCAUAUUUUAAUAGCGGACUCUGCGACACACGUGGCUUAAGGACUAAUAAAUAAUAAAUAAUAAUAAUUAUUAAAAUAGAAAUAAAAUAAUAAUAUUUAACUCAGUCAAUAGUAAAAAUGUUGUCGGCCUGGUUACUCCUCAUAUAAUAGUUUUUAUCCACUCCAUUCCAUUUUUUUUUUUUUUUUUUCAUCGCCAUUUAAAAUAAUAAUUAUUAUUAUCUCCAUAGAUUUUUCUUUAGUCAAUUCUCAUAUAAUAAAUAUAUAUAUUUAUGUAUUUAACAGAAAUGAGUCUCAGUAACAAUAAUAAUUUUGCUAACAAACACAAUUCUCGGUUUGUGGAGACUUUUAAAAGCGAGCUUGCGAUUAAAAGUCCCGACCGAGAAUCCGACAGACUGCCAGAUAACACUUUCAAGCAAAUUCAUAACAAUGCAUUUAAUUAUAUUAAAAUAUUAUUAUAAAUUAUAGAUAAAUAUUUAUAUACAGUAUACAUAUAAUAUAAAAAAGAAUUCUAUAGAUCUAUAUAUUUAUAUACAGACAACAAAAUAAUAAAAAAUAAUAAUUUAUAAAUAGUUUACUAAGGAGUAAAGAUAAAUGCCGCUUGACUCUUGUUUUAUUUAAAUAAUUAAAAAGGUAUACGAAUAUUUAGAGAUUGAAGUAACGGGUGCCAGGCCGACAACCAGGUGAUAAACAAUUAAUUACCGCCCCGAGCCGAGAUCCGCUUCCGCGACUCCUUCCAUCAAAUGUCGUUUUGUUGAUCCUUCUCUUUCCCUUUAAUUAACAAUCCGAACAACAACAACAACAACAACAACAACAGCAACAACAAUUACCCUGAAAGAUAAAUCAACAGCAUCACAUUAUUUAAAAGACACAAGACUGAUAUAGUUAGCCAACAGAAUAAACAACCCAGCACACAAUUGUCGCAAUAAUCUUUUAAUAAAAGUACCCUUUAUUAUUUGUUGUACCAGUUGGGAUUGUUCUGAAGCGAGAGAAGGAUUAUUAACUCAACGAUAAUUGAUGUUUGUCAUAUAGAGCCGUCUCAAGGCAAACUAAUCAAACAAAAGCCUCAUUGCUGACACGCGACAAGUAUUAUCUUUAAAUUUAAACAAACAAUUUAUCGUGUACAGUAUAAUAACUAUAUAUGUAAAUGUUAAUAAUAAUGGUUAUAUAAAUAAAUAAAUGUGUAGUUGAUAAGUUUGUGUUGCGGGAGUCGGGUCUCGAGCACUUAGCGGGUGAUCAAUCUCCCGAGGGAUGACGAGGAACUUUGAAGAAGAAAAUUGCAAGCUUAAGAAGAACAAUGUUUAAUUUAUAGGAUUAAAAGAAUAAGAAAAAUUUUGUGUCGAGGAUGGUCAUAUG